ACUCAAAUGAAUUGACGGGGGCCCGCACAAGCGGAGGAACAUGUGGUUUAAUUCGAUGAUACGCGAGGAACCUUACCCGGGUUUGAACGUAGGGAGACAGGGGUGGAAACAUCCUUUUCAGCAAUGACUGCCUACGAGGUGCUGCAUGGUUGUCGUCAGCUCGUGCCGUGAGGUGUCGGCUUAAGUGCCAUAACGAGCGCAACCCUUAUUUUCAGUUACUAACAGGUAAUGCUGAGGACUCUGAAGAGACUGCCAGCGUAAGCUGUGAGGAAGGUGGGGAUGACGUCAAAUCAGCACGGCCCUUACAUCCGGGGCGACACACGUGUUACAAUGGUAAGGACAAAGGGCAGCUACCGGGCGACCGGAUGCUAAUCUCUAAACCUUAUCUCAGUUCGGAUCGGAGUCUGCAACUCGACUCCGUGAAGCUGGAUUCGCUAGUAAUCGCGCAUCAGCCAUGGCGCGGUGAAUACGUUCCCGGGCCUUGCACACACCGCCCGU
rnacentral:rRNA from 1 species